UUCAUCCACACGAACAAGCACCAUGCGCUGUUCCGCGUGCACGAAGGGCCAACGCCCGAAAAGCGCCAGACGCUGCA
rnacentral:tRNA from 1 species